AUCUUUGCGCUUGGGGCAAUGACGCAGCUAAUGAGGUUCUAACCGAGGCGCGUCUAUUGCUGGUUGAAAACUAUUUCCAAACCCCCUCUUAGGCCUGGGUUCAGCCUUGGCCUUCGAGAAUUUCUGGAAGGGCUCCCUUUGGGGUAAAGCU
rfam:Lupinus angustifolius cultivar Tanjil chromosome LG08, whole genome shotgun sequence.